rfam:Candidatus Ryanbacteria bacterium RIFCSPHIGHO2_01_FTLL_48_27 rifcsphigho2_01_scaffold_167, whole genome shotgun sequence.
CGGCCCGUAGCUCAACGGUAGAGCAAUCGUCUUAUACACGAUUGGUUGUAGGUUCGAAUCCUACCGGGCCGA